rnacentral:sRNA from 1 species
CGUUCACUCAGGGGUGACAUGGGUAAUGGGCAAAUAGCACAACACGGGGGCAAAGCAAAGACUGUCCAUCCACAGAUGCUACCAUGGUUGACGGGAUCUAUAUUACAUGAAGGCGUCAGGUUGCACAUCUUAUGGUGAAAAACCCGUAACAGGCCUCCAGUAUUAGGUUCUGAAACUUAGACGAAUGGGGAGCCUCCCCGUUACUCCCCUAGAUGAAAUUCACUGUUUAAAAACUGGCGUCCUCAGGAACUUGCUUCUCCAUAGAGUUCAGAACUAGCAUGGGUCAAAUGGUGACCUCCUUGAGCCCUGCAGUCUUGGCGGUGACAACCUCUGUGGGGCCUUUAAAACUGGCUCACCGGAAAAACGUGGACGAGUUCAGAGCUGAGGGCUGGAGAAGCCCAGAAAGUCUGUGAUCAGAGUAAUGAGCUAUCGCAGUGAGAGAGCCGAGGACUGGAAUAGCGGCAGACAUGAAGCUGGUGAGCGUCCUCCUUGCUCGUGAAGUUUCAGAAGUCACGCUUGAGGCUAUUCGUGUGAUAUUCUGGCAAAGUAUCCAAUCCAGGACUGACUGUUUGAGUGAACCUUAAUUUAAAGGGUUCGGGUUCCGUCUGUGAACUAGAAAUCCAGAUUUCUUGGAUUUGAAUCUACGUUUUACUAAGAUCUUCCUGUGGUCCCUGCAGAGAAGAGAUGUUGAGGUCCCUCAGGACUGGGUCCUUGUGUCCCUGAGUCCAUUCAGAGAUUUGCCUGAUCACCAGUCCUGUGACUUCCUGCUGCUUGGUGACAGAUUCCCUGGGCCACCUGCCGCCAGCCUGCCCACCUGCCUGCCUGCAUCUGCACCUAUCGUCUGCUGCCAGACAGCCAUCCUCCCUACGGAGGGUGAUGGCCUUUGGAGCUGCAAAGAUCAAGGCUUCGGAAGCCUUGGUUGGAGUGUAUUUUCUGCUCGUAGAAACAUCCUCCAAGCAAGACUGGAAAUUAAGUGGAUAGAGUAGACCAGCCUUCCUAUGGCAUCUAUAAAAUCUGUCUCAGCUCUAUGUCUGUGUGAUACAAGAUUGAUGAGAUUGCUUCUCUUAGGGCUUUCCCCAGAGAUAGGUCCAGAAGGCGGGGUCCCUGUGUCACCCUCCCUUGCCUACCAGGUUGUUCAUUUCUGCACAUUGAAUGUUUCUUCCUCUGUCUAUUCCUUUUUGUUCUGUACUCAAUAGUUGGCAUUGUAAUGUUGACUGUACUGUGGAGGCAGAAACUUGGUUCUCCAAAAUACCCAACUGAGGAACAUUUUCUACAGAGAUAUUGCCCGUUUGUCAUCCAAUGAUGAGACUUAAGUGCUAGGGAGAAAUGAGUAGAACUAGAGGCGGCAGGCUCGUUACAGAUAACCCAGGCUUAUAGAAAGGAUAAAGGAAUGUGUCAGAGAAACUGGGAGUCACUGAUGUAAAAAGGAAGGACAGUGAGGAAAACAAGCAAGAUAUGAGAGAAGGAGCAUAUGGACAGGAAGUCUAAAGAAUGGGCUUAGUGGCAGAAGAUAUGCCUUCCAUAUUGUCAUAAAACAUUGAUAUGAUUAAUAUACCAAAGUCAAUAAGAAACUCUCAUUACACGGAAUGUAUAAUAUAUAAAGUAGUAUCAAUAACAUUCCAACUUAAUUAAUGUGAAAGUAUUUUCCCCGAGUCUGCCGUUGUAAAACAAGCACCCGUUUCUCAUCUUAAAUAACGUUAAAAUGAUUGAUUAGGAGAACGUUGGGCUGAAGCAGCUUGAAGCCCUGGAUUCCUACAUGAAAGCGAUGGGUUGUACUCCCAUCGGUGUCACAUGACCUCACCGCUGUCUUGAUUCGGAAGAUACAUCAUGGAACUCUCACACGGUGUGCACUGUGCGGCCAUGUCCUUUGUUGGCUGCGGUCUGGAACAGCUCAGAUUUGAAACUGCAGUAUGUGAGAAAACAGUGUCUUUACUACACGUACAAAACUUUCUGCUUUUACAGGUAUAGAAUGGUUUAACUGUAAAACCAAACACUUCUCAUAUUUUCCUAUCUCUCGGAGCUAAGUGUCAAAUUACUACAUUGUGUUAAAAUGCUUGCGUUUUUAAAAUGGAGUUGUUAACUUGAGUCUUAGUUUAAAAAACUCAUUGAAUGAAUUUUGGUUUAAAAUCAGAACAGAAUUUUCAACCAUUUCUGAAAUUACUCUAGACUUACUUCUGUUUUAUACUAUGUAUUUAUGCAAAAUGACAAUCUCAAUGAUGACAUUUUAAAACCAAGUAAACAAGUGUAUCUCUCUUAUGAGCA